rnacentral:rRNA from 1 species
AGGAUAAGCAUGCGUCCCAUUAGCUUGUUGGUGAGGUAACGGCUCACCAAGGCAACGAUGGGUAGGGGAACUGAGAGGUUUAUCCCCCACACUGGUACUGAGACACGGACCAGACUCCUACGGGAGGCAGCAGUGAGGAAUAUUGGUCAAUGGGCGAGAGCCUGAACCAGCCAAGUCGCGUGAAGGAUGACUGUCUUAUGGAUUGUAAACUUCUUUUAUACGGGAAUAACAAGAGUCACGUGUGACUCCCUGCAUGUACCGUAUGAAUAAGCAUCGGCUAACUCCGUGCCAGCAGCCGCGGUAAUACGGAGGAUGCGAGCGUUAUCCGGAUUUAUUGGGUUUAAAGGGUGCGUAGGCGGUUUGUUAAGUCAGCGGUGAAAUCUAGAGGCUCAACCUCGAAACUGCCGUUGAAACUGGCGAACUUGAGUGUAGAUGAGGUAGGCGGAAUUCGUGGUGUAGCGGUGAAAUGCAUAGAUAUCACGAGGAACUCCGAUUGCGAAGGCAGCUUACUAAGGUGCAACUGACGCUGAAGCACGAAAGCGUGGGUAUCAAACAGGAUUAGAUACCCUGGUAGUCCACGCAGUAAACGAUGAUAACUGGGCGCAUGCGAUAUACAGUAUGCUCCUAA